rnacentral:rRNA from 1 species
GAUGAACGCUAGCGGCAGGCCUAACACAUGCAAGUCGGGGGGCAGCGAGAUCAAAGCUUGCUUUGAUUGUCGGCGACCGGCGCACGGGUGCGUAACGCGUAUGCAACCUACCCAAAACAGGGGGAUAACACUGAGAAAUUGGUACUAAUACCCCAUAACAACAGAGAAGGCAUCUUCUUUGUUUGAAAACUCCGGUGGUUUUGGAUGGGCAUGCGUUGUAUUAGCUAGUUGGUGAGGUAACGGCUCACCAAGGCGACGAUACAUAGGGGGACUGAGAGGUUAACCCCCCACAUUGGUACUGAGACACGGACCAAACUCCUACGGGAGGCAGCAGUGAGGAAUAUUGGUCAAUGGACGCAAGUCUGAACCAGCCAUGCCGCGUGCAGGAUGACGGCUCUAUGAGUUGUAAACUGCUUUUGUAUGAGGGUAAACUCAUCUACGUGUAGGUGACUGAAAGUAUCAUACGAAUAAGGAUCGGCUAACUCCGUGCCAGCAGCCGCGGUAAUACGGAGGAUUCAAGCGUUAUCCGGAAUUAUUGGGUUUAAAGGGUGCGUAGGCGGUUUGAUAAGUUAGAGGUGAAAUAUUAGGGCUUAACCCUGAAACUGCCUCUGAUACUGUCGAGCUAGAGAGUAGUUGCGGUAGGCGGAAUGUAUGGUGUAGCGGUGAAAUGCUUAGAGAUCAUACAGAACACCGAUUGCGAAGGCAGCUUACCAAACUAUAUCUGACGUUGAGGCACGAAAGCGUGGGGUAGCAAACAGGAUUAGAUACCCUGGUAGUCCACGCAGUAAACGAUGAUAACUCGCUGUCGGCGAUACACAGUCGGUGGCCAAGCGAAAGCGAUAAGUUAUCCACCUGGGGAGUACGUUCGCAAGAAUGAAACUCAAAGGAAUUGACGGGGGCCCGCACAAGCGGAGGAACAUGUGGUUUAAUUCGAUGAUACGCGAGGAACCUUACCCGGGCUUGAAGUUACUGACGAUUCUGGAAACAGGAUUUCCCUUCGGGGCAGGAAACUAGGUGCUGCAUGGUUGUCGUCAGCUCGUGCCGUGAGGUGUCGGGUUAAGUCCCAUAACGAGCGCAACCCCUACCGUUAGUUGCCAUCAGGUCAAGCUGGGCACUCUGGCGGGACUGCCGGUGUAAGCCGAGAGGAAGGUGGGGAUGACGUCAAAUCAGCACGGCCCUUACGUCCGGGGCUACACACGUGUUACAAUGGUAGGUACAGAGGGCAGCUACCCAGCGAUGGGGUGCAAAUCUCGAAAACCUAUCUCAGUUCGGAUUGGAGGCUGAAACUCGCCUCCAUGAAGUUGGAUUCGCUAGUAAUCGCGCAUCAGCCAUGGCGCGGUGAAUACGUUCCCGGGCCU